UCAGUAAACAACUAGAAUCUUUAUCUGUGAAGUACAUAACAGACAUUAACAAAUGUUACAAUGAGAAGUUCCUGCUGUAUAAUAAGUACUAGGCUUAUGAGCAUCUGAGCUUGCUAUAAUCUAGGUAGUUAGUGGAGUGGAAAGAAAGGCAUGA